rnacentral:tRNA from 1 species
UAUAUUUUGGUGUAUGGAGCACAAGAACUUUUGAUGUUCUAGGGAACAGUUUAAAUCUGUGAAAUAUAA